rnacentral:rRNA from 1 species
CAUGAAGUCGGAAUUGCUAGUAAUCGCGGAUCAGCAUGCCGCGGUGAAUACGUUCCCGGGCCUUGUACACACCGCCCGUCACACCAUGGGAGCCGGUAAUACCCGAAGUCAGUAGUCCAACCACGUGAGGACGCUGCCGAAGGUAGGAUUGGCGACUGGGGUGAAGUCGUAACAAGGUAGC